UCGGAUAUGGUGUAAUGGCUAACAUUGCCGCCUCUCAUGAGUUCUCUUCGAAAGUACCUCGCGGCAGCUCGGGGUUCGAUUCCCCGUAUCCGAA